AGUUUGAUUCUGGCUCAGAACGAACGCUGGCGGCAGGCUUAACACAUGCAAGUCGAACGAUAUAGUGGCAGACGGGUGAGUAACGCGUGGGAACGUGCCUUUCACUAAGGAAUAGCUUUUGGAAACGAAAGGUAAUACCUUAUACGCCCUUCGGGGGAAAGAUUUAUCGGUGAAAGAUCGGCCCGCGUUAGAUUAGCUAGUUGGUGAGGUAAUGGCUCACCAAGGCUACGAUCUAUAGCUGGUCUGAGAGGACGACCAGCCACACUGGGACUGAGACACGGCCCAGACUCCUACGGGAGGCAGCAGUGGGGAAUAUUGCACAAUGGGCGCAAGCCUGAUGCAGCAAUGCCGCGUGUGUGAAGAAGGCCUGCGGGUUGUAAAGCACUUUCAGUAAGGAGGAAAAGUAUGUAGUU
rnacentral:rRNA from 1 species